GUCGCCUCUCCAAAUCCAGAUGUGCAAGUUCGGAAUGUCCGCUUGAGCCACUGGUACAUGAACCCCAUGGCUAGUUUUAAUUGUGGUUGAUGAAUUGCCCAUGCUGAGAAGCUGUGAUUUUAUUAAUGCUACUAUCCUGGUUUUGGGAAGGAGGGAUCUUGGGGAUGUCAUGAUCAGAAAAUGAAUGUUUUAAAUUUUAAGGGCAACUUCCCUUAACAGUAAAUCCACUCUGAACAGCAGCCCAAGUAAGGCGUGGCAGGGAGGCUGCAAAGGGUUUGAUUGGUGAGAGCUCUCUGCUCUUCUUAAAGCUUCUGUUUCUGUUCUGGUGUGAGCAGAAGAAGACGCUUCCUUGCACACGUUGCAUCUCACUCAUAGAGGUUUAACAUGAAGACUGUCCUGCUUGUCACUGCUCUUGUCUUGAUGACUUUAACCUCUGCUGAAAAGCAAACAACCAGUGCGACAAGUAAACCGAACCUCGAAAAGUCCGGACAGAGCCUGGGCACACCCUGCUGUGUCCCACCUUCUCUUUUGCUGGUGUCUGCCUUGGCAGCAGUUUACCUCCUCCAAGCAAAAUGAGCCCCCUGCACUUCACUCCCCAGAGAGAUGUCAACGCUGCCUUCUGCCUGCCACCAUCUCAGCCUCUCCCCCUGGGAACCCUGCUGCAGCCUGCCAAUCCGCGUAACCCAGCCAGCAUUAUGGCUCCAGCUGAAGUCUUCCCGCAACACACCCACGGCGCCCUUCUCUUCGCAGCCAUCGGCUUCUUUCCUUGUUUCCCAUCAGAGCCAUUCAUUCCACCAACUGCAAUGGAAUCCCAGCAGCAGAGUCCAGCUUUGCAUGGAGCUUCCCAUUAGAAUCGCAUUGGAUAGGCAGAUGCAUGUCUCACCGCAACACCUGAGGAGCCUUGCCAUUGAUUGACCAGCUCCUGUGCAGAAUGGGCCUCCCCAAAGAGACAGAGAUUGCAACAAGAGUGUUUUGUUGCAUGCUUUUGUAUGUAUUGCACUAAUCUGAAGUUCCCGAGGACUAGCCACUGGAAGACAGAGAUCAGCUCCUGGUGCUGAGACAUUCCACCCAGCAGUGGGCAGCAAUCCCCAUUCCAUGAAGACAUGUUCUGAUGCUUUGAGAAAUUAAUGUGAAUAUAAAUGCUUUGGGGUCUUUCUGAUCCCUGCAGAGUGGCAGCCAGCUCAACCUAAUAAAAUGAAAGACAAGCUUUCUUA